CUGGAUUCGCUAGUAAUCGCGCAUCAGCCACGGCGCGGUGAAUACGUUCCCGGGCCUUGUACACACCGCCCGUCAAGCCAUGGAAGCCGGGAGUGCCUGAAGUGCGUGAGCGCAAGCAGCGCCCUAAGGUAAAAACCGGUGACUGGGGGCUAAGUCGUAACAAGGUACC
rnacentral:rRNA from 1 species